GAUGGAGUAGCUCAGUAGGAUAGAGCAGCAGCCUUCUAAGCUGUCGGUCGGUGGUUCGAAUCCACCCACCAUCGCCA
rnacentral:tRNA from 1 species